rnacentral:rRNA from 1 species
CGGUGAAUACGUUCCCGGACCUUGUACACACCGCCCCGUCAAGCCAUGGAAGCUGGGUGUACCUAAAGUCGAUAACCGCAAGGAGUCGCCUAGGGUAAAACUAGUAACUGGGGCU